rnacentral:lncRNA from 10 species
CACUUGCGCUUGGUGAUCUGAGCCGCCAUGUCCGCCGCGGUCCAAGAGCGCAGGUCCUCGUUCAGGGCGAUGUAAUCCUUGCCGUCGUAGGCGUCCUGCCGGUACCCGCGGAGGAAGCGCCCGUCCGACCCCACGUCGCAGCCAUACAUUAUCUGGAUGGUGUGAGAACCUGGCCCCGACCCCGCAGAAACCACAGCUCCAGUGACUACAGCUCCAAGGAGAACCAGGCCAGCAACGAUACCCACGAUGGGGAUGGUGGGCUGAGAAGACUGCUCUGGGAAAAAAGGGGAAGAAGGCACCACCACAGCUGCCCACUUCUGGAAGGUUCCAUCCCCUGCAGGCCUGGUCUCUAGAAGCUCCAUGUCCCGAGUCUGGUCCUCUCCAUCCUGCUGCCAGGAUCUGGAAACCCAGGAGGAUUCCUCUCCCUCAGGACCAGAGAGAGGACGACAUUCUAGUGUUGGUCCCAUUUUCCUUCUCUCUUUGUGGGAAGCCAGCCCAGGAGAUCUACAGGCGAUCAGGGAGGCGUCUUGUGUUCCCUGGUACCCGUGAGCUGCAGCGUCUCCUUCCCGUUCUCCAGGUGUCUGCGAGCCUCUCCACGCACGUGCCCUCCAGUGGUCCUGCUCCUGUGAGUCAGAGUGUGUCAUUUCCUCACCUAAAACACUCCAGUGGCUCCACCUCGGUCUUGUGAAGCUUCUAGAAUGUCAGACAGAGGCAGCAGAUGGAGAUGUGACAGAUUCUCUAGUGGGAAGGCUUUGAUCAUAAUACCUGGCAAGCCAGAAUGAUGCCAGCAACCCCAAAGGAGCUGCCAAUGGAUCUUGACAGGAAAAUCACUGACUCUGGAUUGGGCUAUGCUCAACCAGGGGUAGAUGUCAAUGCUUCAAGGGCUAUACAAGAACCAGAAAAGAAGAGAUUGCACCAAUUUGGACUGCCGAGUCACACUUCUUUACACAAGAAAACACACUUUACAGCCUCAAAUGGCCAACAAUGCAGAGGGACAUGUCCUCCUCAGGGGAAAAUUUGAUAGAAAAUUGAAAUGGUCAAUUGAAACAUUGUUUGUCUAAAAACUGCCAAUCUAAUUGUUGGGCAAUAUAAACAUGAAGGACUGGCUUUUAUAUCUUCAUGAAUGUGCUCGCUGUCAACAUGAGUGGGGCUGCAAGAAUAACUCCACUAGGUAGCAUCCUCUCUUUUACCUGAUGGAUCAGGACGAUGCUGUUAUGACGAUACAUACAAUUCUUCUGAAGAGGAGAGGAUGCUGGAAUAAAGACUACACUUCACCUCAAAUUUAUUUUUUCAUAUGUUAUGCCAUAGUACCAGGAAUAGGGAUGUAAAUAAAAGUGCCAGAAACAGGAAUUAUCCCUAAGCCAAAAACCAUAACUAUAUUUUUAUACCUUUAUGUAAGAAUUCUCAAGUAUUCAUUUCAUCUGGAAAAGUUAGGAUUAACAGUAAGUAGAGUUAUAUAGCCUGGUGGUCUUGAUAGCCCCCACUAGUUCCUUACCUAUAUAACCUACCCUCUAUGAUCAAGACUAGACUGAGGGAAGACAUGCUAGAAUACUAUUGCUGCCUGCAGUCUAGGCCAGCCCAGCAGACAAACCUAAUGUCACUCCCAAACCUGGAAACAACUGAUAUAAAGGGACAGAGGGAGGAAUAGUGGCUGAGGGCAAGUGAAUAAAUCAAAGGGUUAUAUAAUGAGAAAAAUUCAAUAUUAGCUUAACUCCUCAAAGGUGGUGUGAGCAAGAGAAGAUAUUGUCACUUAGGUCAAUUAUACUGGAUGCCUAAAAGAGUGAAGCUGUAUGUCCCUGAGACCAUUCUUGUUUUUGGAACCUGGUAAGAUUGAGUGUUGUCAGCAAAGCUGAGUGAUUUCAUUCUGGGAGACAUAUUCAUACAAGAGGAUGAUAAACUGGCCUAAUUUUGAAUGAAUGGAUGAGACUCUGAUAAUAUGCCAAUACCUCUUUACUGUUACAAUCCUUUUUCCUGUAAAAGAUAUGUGGUCAAAGAAAAGUGGGCAAUCUGAGUUAUCACAAAAACAUUUAGACUUUGUCCCUGGUUUCUCCUAAAAACCUUAGACUCUCUUGAGUGAUAAGUGUCUUUAGAGUACUGAUGAGAAGACUCUUGGCUGAGUGGAUCCUGGAUAUCUUAAGAACGGUGGCUAGCUGCCAGAGACACAUACCUGUGAUGCGAGUGUUAUCUUUUUCCAUUUUGUGUUGCUAUAAAGAAAUGUCUGAGACUGACUAAUUUAUAUAAACAAGGUUCAUGUGGCUC